rnacentral:rRNA from 1 species
GACGAACGCUGGCGGCGCGCCUAACACAUGCAAGUCGAACGAGCGAGAGAGAGCUUGCUUUCUCGAGCGAGUGGCGAACGGGUGAGUAACGCGUGAGGAACCUGCCUCAAAGAGGGGGACAACAGUUGGAAACGACUGCUAAUACCGCAUAAGCCCACGGCUCGGCAUCGAGCAGGGGGAAAAGGAGCAAUCCGCUUUGAGAUGGCCUCGCGUCCGAUUAGCUAGUUGGUGGGGUAACGGCCCACCAAGGCGACGAUCGGUAGCCGGACUGAGAGGUUGAACGGCCACAUUGGGACUGAGACACGGCCCAGACUCCUACGGGAGGAAGCAGUGGGGAAUAUUGCACAAUGGGGGAAACCCUGAUGCAGCGACGCCGCGUGGAGGAAGAAGGUCUUCGGAUUGUAAACUCCUGUUGUUGGGGAAGAUAAUGACGGUACCCAACAAGGAAGUGACGGCUAACUACGUG